CUGGAAGUUGUUAACCUUGGAAGAGCAGUGUUUGCAAUUGUUCUUUGGAGAGAAAGAGAAAACUGAGAAACUCCUUGAAUAUAAAUACGUAAACAUGCUGCAGAUUGUUUAAUCAGUGAUGCAGCUAACUAAUUUAACCCUUUCCUAGGUGACUGAGUUUUCUUCUUAACCGGCCUGAGAAAGCAAGCACGCUGCUCCCACCAUCGUGGAGAGCAGGAUUCAGCAGCCAGGCCUGGGCGGGCAGAUGGGUGAGGCGAGCAGGGCAGGCAGGAGCAUCCUGGCUGAAAGCAGACAGCCUGGGUGGAAUGACCAAAGGGAGCGGCAUGGCUGGGGAUGGUGCGAUCCCCCAUGAUGAUGGUGAAGACACAAAGUCAAGUACGCUCCCUUCUGAAAGUUACUAAAUGAACUUCAAUCAGGACUUCAAUUUUCUUUCUGAAAACUGCUGGCAAAACAAGUGAUUCUGUUCCUGGCCUCAGAAUAAGGAAGAACAUGUACGCUUCAGAUACCUGAAAGGAACUGCUGUAUAGUGAAACUGGUAGUCACUUUUAUUCUUCACUUCGAUUUAUCUACGUACAUGAGAAAAUCACAGCCACAGAUAAGUUCAAUUUUAAUAUAUACCUAUAUUAUAACAAAUUAUGUUCCUACUGCUCUCAAUGAGUUACCUGAGAAAUCCCAGGAUAUUAAUUGCCAGCUGGAUAAAACAGUUGCAAAGUAAUUUCACCCAAAUAUUAGUGUUUAAUGCUAAUUGCUAAAACAUGAAUUUUAGCAGCAGCUACAUUUGAUAGUAGUUCUUUGGUUUCAAAACAGUGAGACUGGAGAGAUGUGGGUCAGGUUUGACAGCACAUCCUUGAAAAGGCCAUUUGCUGUUUGGAACAUUAUUUUCCCCCAGUGUAGAGAAAGGCCGGGCAGCACACAAUUUGUGCUAUGGCUGUCACAACACACAGGAGACAUAUCUUUAUCAGUGAUUAUUAGCUGUCCUCUUCAUCCUUGUAUUUGGUCUUUUAUUUUACUUGGCUGAAAAACAGAUUGGAAGAUAGUGCCUAUGUGUUACUGUGUGUGGCAGCAUGGACAAAAUUAUCUGGCCUUUUCUCCUUUUCCAACUGUGCAAAAACAUUAUUUUUGAUUUUGUAGUCUGCUGCAUGAAAAGUUAUAUUGGGUCUGCAUUAUUUCUGUCCUCUAAUACCUGGAAAAAAACCCACUAAAUAUGUAAUUUUAAUGUCCUUUGCCUCUUUCCAGCUAAGUCUAGAUUUCUAAUUCUGCAGUGUUUAACCUUCUGCACGAGCUAGGUAUUUCCCUGUUCACAGAACUUCUUUUUCCUUUACUUUUUGAUGCAUGUUUCUUUCAAGAAACCUCACACUGCUCAAUAGCAAAAAGAUACUUGAAAGAAAACAAUGUGCCAUGAGAUCCUGGAAUACACUGUAUCUCACCACGACUGCCCUCCAGAUGUGGGCAUGUGGGGCAGAGACUUUCUCUCGCUCAGACUGUACGUAUGUGCAGCGCCACUGCUUCACGUUUAGUAACCCCCCAUCAGUCCUCCCUAGAUGCCAUUCUGACCUCACCUCACUGCAAGUUUGUUCUUAUUAGGGGCCUGAUCCAUCAAAGCACUUAAGCACAUGGUUGUAGGUUGUAAACCCACCAGGACUUUUUAUAACCCUGUAAAGUAUGUAGAGUGUGUACCUACGGCACUAUAAAAGAUAGGUUUAAGUGAUGCCUGUGAUAAGAGCUAGCCUUUUUUUUUUCAGCAGUUAUCCUCUGUAACACACAGUUUCUGCAGUUUGUGUUGCAUAUAUUUCAAAUUAGGCUGGUUUUGACAAAUCGACUGUUUAUUUUUUAGUUUUGCCUUUUUUGUUUUUGCAUGUCUAGAAGAGCAUCUAUACCUAAUAAAUUUUCAAGAUAUUCUUCCUUAUCUGCAUCCCUCAAAAAACCAUUUAGAUUCUGUUAGACACUCUGGAGGAAUAUUUAAUAGUUAAAAUUUUUCAAUUCAGCUUCUUAAAAAAAUUAAAGCAAAUAAGAAAACAGAACCAUCGUGGGCCCUGCAGAUACCAGAGAGAGUAAAUCUUAAGGACUGUUCUGAGAGCACAAUUUCACCCAGUGCAGAAUUUUAAUUUCUGUAAGCACUGAAAAUAAAAAGUAAUUAAACCUCUGCAUAUUCCUCGUGUACUAUAAAUAUAUUAAUAAAAUAGGCAAAGAACACCAACUCCUAAAUUAUUAGUGGUAGUAAAAUGCUGAAUAUUGAAAUAGUUUAAUUUAUUCAUUUAUAAUUUUUAUCAGGCUUAAAUAGGCCUCUAGGAGCAAUUUAACCAUUACAAUAACACAAUUGUUCAGUACACUCAGCAGUUAGAUACACAGAUAUCAUUGCACAAAACCAAAUAGCAAACUACUGGCAAAAUCCCAUGUUCCAAUGUAAAGUGAUGAUGAAUUUACACAAAGACAGCAGAUUGUUCUCUCCUGCCUCCUUUAUGAAUGAGUAACUUCUAUAUUUCAGUGUAAAAACUACUGGUCAGUGAAUCAGUGCCUCACUUUCAGCUGGGACAGAGUUGUUUUCUUUAGGGUGUCUAAUGUAUGAUGCUGUGUAUUGGUUCCAGGAGAAAAACAAUGCUGAUAACACACCAAUGUUUAUAGUUGCUGCUAAGCAGGGUUGUACAGAGAACCAAGGCCAUUCUCAGCAAAGGGCCCAAGGAGAAGGGAUGGAACAGAAUUAGGACAGCUGACACAAACUGACCCAAGGGAUAUUCCAUACUAUACCAAGCAGAAGAAAUUUGAAGGGAGUGGGCAUUCAUCUCUCUCUCUUACGCCGCUUGGAGGACUAGCUGAGCAUUGGUCAAGGGGUGGUGAGCAAGUGCUUGUGCAUCCCCUGUUAUUUACAUUCACACAUAUACAUACAGUCAUAACUAUUAUCCUUUUCUCUAUCUUAGUAAAUAGUUUUAUCUCAACCCACAAGCCCACAAAUUCUAUUUUUUUUUUCUUUUUUCCUGAUUUUUUCCCCCAUCACACAGGGAAGGAGGGCAGUGAGCAAAACACUGCAUGGUGCUCAGUCACCUGCCAGGUAAAACCACAGCAAUCAGUGCAAUAGGUCUGGUUGAAUGCCCACAGAAAGAGACAAGCUCUAAUUGUAAAAAUUCUGGCUAACCAGGGUUUCUGUAAGCUAGUAUAUAUAGAGCGUAAAUCUAAGCCCAGAAUGAACUUAGAUCUGUCUUGGAUGUAUUUUAGAGAAAAUUGGUUAAGUCUAACGCCACAUAUAAAGAAUAGAUGAUACAUAUUAGUAGCAGAGACAAGUGUAUAUCCUUUAGUCUAUGUAUUAAAUAAUACAUCUUCAGAAAAAAGGUACUCAUGUCUAAGGAAAAACCUACAACAUAACAUCUCCAAGAAUUUCAAGUGAUAAUUAUUCUUUCGGAUAAGUAUUAAAAGACAUUGAAAUGAAUGCAUACCUCCUGUUACACUCAGAAUUCUACCAGUAGAAGACAGCUAGUAUCAAAGUAGGGAAAAAGUGAGUGGAUCAGAGAUCUGAAUAGUCUCUUCAUAAAGAUGUAGCUUAAUAUCUCGCUUAUAUCCAAUUUGGGAAGGCUUCCUCCAGAAAUAUAGUAUCAUCGUUAAAGGUUGAAAGAGAUCUCAGGAGGUCUUUAGUCUAACCCUCUCCUCAAAACAGGAUCAGUUCUAAUGUCAGACCAAGUUACUUAGGUCUCUAACUGGUCUGAUCUUGAAACCUCCAUGGCUGGAGACUGCACAGCCUUUGGCCAUCUCAUUCUGCUGCUUGAGUGACCUGAUGCCAUGAGUCCAGAACCACUGCAGGAGUACCAAUGAAAAAAUCUGAUUUCACAAACUGCCUCCAAAUCACCCUGAGGAAACACCAUUUACGUAUACUGUGCAGCUUGCAUUUUAUUUACUUCUUCUUUAAAGGAGAGCUCACUAGGUGAAUAUAAUUAUUAACUAUUACUUUUGGUAGAGGCUCCCUCAACACCUAAGCAAACAAUAUACUUUAUCAUAUUUUGAACAUUUCUUAACCAAGAGAGGUAGAAAGAGUUUUCUAAUUUAUGUAAAUGCUAAGGUCACCACCUGAAUGCGAAAGCACGAAGUUACUGACUUAGGCCUUAAUCUGAUCUAAUCUUAGAUGCAUCUGUCCCCACUGAAAAGCAUAACAGUGCCUGGACAUUAGAUGGCUGCUGCAGAAUCUGCUGCUAUGUUCACCCUAUUCCACGGAUGGAACACAUCCCCUGGACAUACCUCCAGUGCCAUCUCCUCACGAAGAUGUUUAUAAUAUUCAUGUGCUGUGGAAACAGAACAGAAGCCCAUGUUUCAGCCAGGAUUGCAAUGGCCUCCUCCCAUGGGAAUAGCAGCUGCAUAAAUAGGAGGGAAGCCCUCAGUGGAAUUGCUUCCAACACCUUUCUAAUGGAAAUAAUGAUUUGCAAAGUCCAGUUUAUGCCUUUGCCACGUAAUUAGUAGCCAAGAUUAAAAACAUUGUUCCAACUCCCAGCAUCGUUGAAAUCUGGCAAAACCUUAAAUAUUCCGCUGUGUUCCAAGAAGGUAGCCCAUAAGUGAUCAUUGUAAGGACAGUCUUAGCCAGUUCAGUCAGGCCCUUGAAUCAAUCAACACUUAUUAUAUGGAAAUUAACCAGUUUGAUGUCAAUUAGUGGAAAUUUGUUAGCAGACAUAACCUAUGAGAUGUUUUAUUUUGAAUUCCUUGCUCUCCCCACUGAAGCUAGCUAAGAUAGGGCUAAGGACCCAGCCACACAUUUCUGAAGGCCUAGAGUAGAAUUAAUUAAAAAAGAAGUGGAGUGAAGCUGUAGUCAAAUACACAAAAACUCUACUGUCUACAGGGCACAAGAAGAACAAGGAACUGGAUAUCAGAUUUUUUUCUUGGAAGGAAUCAAUUUCUAGUCACAGAUUUUGGUGCAUAACAGUCUAUUCUGUAUGUGUCAAUACUGAGUAUAUGGAGAUAAAAAAAAGUGUAUAUAGUCUGAUGGCAAUUUGUACCCUCAUUUUGUGCUACUUUAAAGGUCCUUUUCUACCAUGUUCUUAUGCGUUAUAUCCUCGUAUUAAGAAAGUAAUAGUUUUUAAAUUAAAAAUGUCUGACUUGAUCAUUAAUUUUCCUCCUAAAAAUAACCUAAAAUAACCUUAAAAAAAAAAAAAGAAAAGUCUGGCUACUCAAGCCAGAGAGGGUGAUGAAAGAUUUCCUCAGCUCUUAAGAACAUUACCUGUCUGGCAUAUGAGGUGGAUUUGACUUUACUGUAAAUUCUAACUUUUGUUUAAAAUUAAUAAAGUACCCUCAUGUACCCUUCUACCUGUGUAUAUCAGCAUUCAGUAUGACAACCUGGUGCUCUACAAUUCAAAUUAAAUAUUAGGACUGUGGGUUCAAUCUCAAAGUUUUACAGCAAUCCUAAAACACUCACAGCUAAGAAGGAAACACAGGAUCAGAGUCUUGCUAUAAUAUGGAAAACUCCUGGCAGUCUUGAAGCCAGGGUU
ensembl:lncRNA